AUCAGUGAUGACAUCAUAGUGACAAGUACAAGGACAGUGAACACAAGAGGCUAUCGGAACACAUGAGAAAAACAAAACAAAACAGUAAGUUCAGCCUUAGAGAGAAUUCUUCUCAGAGAAAGUGACAUCUGUGGGUGAUUUGGUAGAGAACUACUCCAUGCCUUUAAGGGCACAAAUUGAAGCCCAUCUAUCUGGGUUCAAAUCCCAGCAUUACACACCAGAGACAGUUUGCCAACUUCUUGUUUCCAGUGAAGGCUCUAUUUUUUGUUAGAAAAUCCUUGUGAAAAUUCCACAUGCUGCCUCCAAAAUUUUGCAGGUUUCUCCCAAUGAAAAGUCAACCAGAUCAUCAAAGGACAGACAUUUUAUCCACCCCCUCGGGAUGAAAAUGAUUUUGGAAAAGCAUGAGACAAAUGAAAUAAGGAAAAACAA